GGACCAUAGCUCACUGUCAGAGCAGCUGCUUUGCAUGCAGAAGGUCCCAGGUUCAAUCCCUGGCAUCUCCA